UACGUAGGGUGCAAGCGUUGUCCGGAAUUAUUGGGCGUAAAGAGCUCGUAGGCGGUCUGUCGCGUCUGCUGUGAAAACUCAGGGCUUAACCCUGAGCUUGCAGUGGGUACGGGCAGACUAGAGUGCGGUAGGGGAGACUGGAAUUCCUGGUGUAGCGGUGAAAUGCGCAGAUAUCAGGAGGAACACCGAUGGCGAAGGCAGGUCUCUGGGCUGUAACUGACG
rnacentral:rRNA from 1 species